rnacentral:rRNA from 1 species
CCUACGGGAGGCAGCAGUGAGGAAUAUUGGUCAAUGGGCGGAAGCCUGAACCAGCCAAGUAGCGUGCAGGAUGACGGCCCUACGGGUUGUAAACUGCUUUUAUACGGGAAUAACGCGCCUUACGUGUAGGGCUUUGCAUGUACCGUAUGAAUAAGGACCGGCUAAUUCCGUGCCAGCAGCCGCGGUAAUACGGAGGGUGCGGGCGUUAUCCGGAUUUAUUGGGGUUAAAGGGUGCGUAGGCCGUCUGUUAAGUGCGCGGUGAAAUGCCCGGGCUCAACCCCGGCACCGCAGUUAGAACUGGCGGUCUCGAGUUGGAGGGGAGUAUGCGGAAUGCGCGGUGUAGCGGUGAAAUGCAUAGAUAUGGCGCAGAACUCCGAUUGCGAAGGCAGCAUGCCGGCUCCACACUGACGCUGAGGCACGAAAGCGUGGGUAUCGAACAGGAUUAGAUACCCCGGUAGUC